rnacentral:lncRNA from 1 species
AAAUUUUAGAGAAAUUGAUCGAAAUUUGCUGGAGAUGAAUCAGUUUGACAGUCCACUACCUUGUGCAAGGUACUGUGACUAAAUCUACAUAUAGAUCCCACGGCAAGAGCGGAAACCUGAAAGUUAAACCUAUGAGUUAAACCCAUACAAACUCAAAUAAAAAAACCACUUCCAACCUGCUCCAACCCGCAUUUGUGAUAUACCCAACCCGUCCCAACCCAUUAGAUACUAAAACCCAUUUUAACCCAUUCAAACACAUCCUGUGUCACAAUCCACCCCAUAAAACCCAUUUCAACCC